rnacentral:rRNA from 1 species
GACGAACGCUGGCGGCGUGCUUAACACAUGCAAGUCGAACGGAAAGGCCUGUCCUUCCUUGUGUUGGACGGGUACUCGAGUGGCGAACGGGUGAGUAACACGUGAGUGAUCUGCCCCCAACUUGGGUAUAAGCCUGGGAAACUGGGUCUAAUUCCCGAUAGGACUGCAGGGUGGUGCCUGUGGUGGAAAACGAUUUUCUAGUGGUUGGGGAUGAGCUCGCGGCCUAUCAGCUUGUUGGUGGGGUAAUGGCCUACCAAGGCGGCGACGGGUAGCCGGCCUGAGAGGGUGGACGGCGACAUUGGGACUGAGAUACGGCCCAGACUCCUACGGGAGGCAGCAGUGGGGAAUAUUGAACAAUGGGCGGAAGCCUGAUGCAGCGACGCCGCGUGGGGGAUGACGGCCUUCGGGUUGUAAACUCCUUUCGACCGCGAGGAAGCCGCCUGGUUGGAAGGGUGGUGACGGUAGUGGUAGAAGAAGCACCGGCUAACUACGUG